rnacentral:rRNA from 2 species
UACAACAGCUAUUAUUUACUUGAUUUUGAUAUCCUACGUGGAUAACUGUGGUAAUUCUAGAGCUAAUACAUGCACCAAAGCUCCGAUUUUUGACGAGCGCAUUUAUUAGACUAAAACCAAUCGGGCUUCGGCUCGUGUUUUGGUGACUCUGAAUAGCUACAGCUGAUCGCAUGGUCUUGUACCGGCGACGUGUCUAUCAAGUGUCUGCCUUAUCAACUUUCGAUGGUAGUUUAUGUGCCUACCAUGGUUGUUACGGGUAACGGAGAAUAAGGGUUCGACUCCGGAGAGGGAGCCUGAGAAACGGCUACCACAUCCAAGGAAGGCAGCAGGCGCGCAAAUUACCCACUCUCGGCAUGAGGAGGUAGUGACGAAAAAUAACGAGACCGUUCUCUAUGAGGCCGGUUAUCGGAAUGGGUACAAUUUAAACCCGUUAACGAGGAUCUAUGAGAGGGCAAGUCUGGUGCCAGCAGCCGCGGUAAUUCCAGCUCUCAAAGUGUAUAUCGUCAUUGCUGCGGUUAAAAAGCUCGUAGUUGGAUCUGCGCUUGAAGACUCGGUCCACCUUCUGGGUGAGAACUGGGCUCUUCGGCUAAAUUGUGCUGGUUUUCCCUGCGUUGCCUUUACCGGUCGCGUAGGGUGGCUAGCGAGUUUACUUUGAAAAAAUUAGAGUGCUUAAAGCGGGCUUUAAGCCUGAAUAUUUGUGCAUGGAAUAAUAGAAUAGGAUCUCGGUUCUAUUUUGUUGGUUUUCUGAUCUGAGAUAAUGGUUAAGAGGGACAGACGGGGGCAUUCGUAUCGCUGCGUGAGAGGUGAAAUUCUUGAACCGUAGCGAGACGCCCGACUGCGAAAGCAUUUGCCAAGAAUGUCUUCAUUAAUCAAGAACGAAAGUCAGAGGUCUA